GAUAUAAAGUGCUAUCUAAUGUACGUUUUACUGUUUAUCAUAACAUCAGUAUUAGGCUUAUUAUAAUUUUUCAACCCUGUAUUUUAUAUGUAGUUUCUAAGGAUUUUCAAGAAUCAGAAGAAUGUAGACCCUACAAUAACAGUAUUUUAAACAAACUGCCGUGCUUGGUGUGUUCCAGCCGGUCUGAUAAACUCUGGAUUGAGUGAAACGUGUCGUCGCCAAUAGAUACGGUGAACACAGUAUGGUUGGAAUACUAAUAUUGUACACUCUUCUAAUUCUUAAAAAUCCCUAACUGAUUAGAUAUAGAAUAAAGUGUUAUAAAAUUAAACAGGCUAAUAUUAUUGUCUAAUUAGAAGAAAUUAAUCAUAUUCAUGAUUUGUCAACUUGAAAAAAGGUGUUCACACCAUUAAAAUUGUUGUUGUAACAAAUGGCUUAUAUACAUAGUGUUUGAUGUGACCCAGGAAGAGAUUCGGAGAUGGAAUUUUGGAAUAAUUGUUUCGAGAUUGAAAAGAUCGGAUUCGAUAUCAUUUCUGCAGUUCAUCUUAUUACUCGAGAGCGGUUCGUUUUGGUUUUCUUUGGCUAGUGACACAAGGACGUCGAUGGACGCAACUAUUCCGGUUAUUGACGUCUCUUCACACUGUUUCUGGACGGUCUCUGAUCCAAAACUUGGACAAGUCCAGAAAACAAGCCAAAUAAAGACGAAUUUUAUCAUUUUUAAA